CACCUGUUCAGGUGUGGCUCCAGUCUGUUUGUCGGGUCUCAGAUUGUGUUAAAUUUUCUUCUUUAACUCUUUGGAUCGUUUCAACAAACUGUGAAGCUAGAAAGUGUGUGUGAGCUGAUGUGGAUUCAGCAGCAUGGAUCAGUGUGAGGACAGAGAGGAGGGAGUCCCUCCCUCUAAAACCACUCUGUGUGGGGAAGAUGAGAGCCAGAGCAAAGGUCAGAGGAUCCAUCAGAGACUCAAACCAGAACCAGAACCAGAACCCAGCUGUGUUUCCUUUAAGAGCGACAGGUCAAAG